rnacentral:pre_miRNA from 1 species
CAUAUACUCCCUCCGCCUGUAAUUACUUGUUGCAGAAAUGGAUGCAUAUAGAUGUAUUUUUAGUUCUAUAUACAUCCAUUUGUAUCUAUUUAUAUGACAAGUAAUUUGGAACCGAGGGAGUAUCGU